UACGGAGGGUGCGAGCGUUGUCCGGAAUCACUGGGCGUAAAGGGCGCGUAGGCGGCCGUGUAAGUCACUUGUGAAAUCCCGGGGCUCAACUCCGGGGCCGCAGGUGAGACUGCGUGGCUAGAGCACGGUAGAGGCGAGUGGAAUUCCCGGUGUAGCGGUGGAAUGCGUAGAUAUCUGGAGGAACACCGGUGGCGAAGGCGGCAUCCUGGACCGACACUGACGCUGAGGCGCGAAAGCCAGGGGAGCAAACGGG
rnacentral:rRNA from 1 species